rnacentral:rRNA from 1 species
GAUUCCCUGAGUAACGGCGAGCGAAAGGGGAGCCGUCCAGCGCCAAGUCUCGGCACGUCGGUGUCGAGAGAUGCGGCGUUGAUGUGGUGGCGCAUCGCGCACUGCCCGGUGUUUCAAGUUCGCUUGACAGCGACAUCCAGAGCGGGUGCUAGGCCCAUAGAGACACUGGUCCGGUGUGCGCCGGCCACCACAUUCUAGAGUCAGGUUGCUUGAGAGUGCAGCUUAAAGUGGGUGGUAAACUCCAUCGAAGACUAAAUAUCACAGCGAGACCGAUAGCAAACAAGUACCGUGAGGGAAAGUUGCAAAGCACUUUGAAGAGAGAGUUCAACAGGACGUGAAACCACUGGUGGGCAAACAGAUGGAACCACGAAUGUGCGCCCCGGUCGAUUCAAUCGCCAUCGGGGGCCAGGCUGGUCGUCGMGGGUCUCCUCGGAGGCUGCGACGGCCGGACGACGGGCCUCCGAUAACGAUGCAUUUCGUGCCGGGGAUGCUAAGCCACGUUCGACCAGAGUUGGAACGGCCGUAGGAUGGGGCCUGGGGAAGGUGGCCGGCAGGUGCUUGCACCAGUCGGUGUUACAGACCCGGGUCGGAACCGUUGCCAAACAGACUGGUMGAUGCAAAUUCUCCCUCGGGAGUGGAACUGCCACUGCCUGUGGUGGGUAGUCGGGACGGUYUGGUGUUUUUGCUGUGCUUAGUUGUGCAACAAAGCACCGGAUGCGUACCGGCUAGUCGCUGCUUGCGUGUGGCAGUGGAACUGUGGUGCGAGUAGGUCGGUGUCCAUCUGACCCGUCUUGAAACACGGACCAAGGAGCCUAUCAUAUACGCGAGUCGCUCGGUCUUGAUGAGGCCCGGACGGCGGAAUGAAAGUGAGCUGCUACGAGACCUCGGUCGCAGUAGCGGUACGCCUACUUCGUUUAUUGGCGAUCAGGCGUAACCGGAGCGUAUACGAUGGUACCCGAAAGAUGGUGAACUAUGCCUGGGCAAGACGAAGCCAGAGGAAACUCUGGUGGAGGUCUGUAGCGAUUCUGACGUGCAAAUCGAUCGUCAGACCUGGGUAUAGGGGCGAAAGACUAAUCGAACCAUCUAGUAGCUGGUUCCCUCCGAAGUUUCCCUCAGGAUAGCAGGCGCUUGUGUGUGUCAGUGUCAUCCGGUAAAGCUAAUGAUUAGAGGUCUUGGGGUUGAAACGACCUCAACCUAUUCUCAAACUUUAAAUGGGUGAGAUGGUUGACUUUCUUGAUUGAAGCCAACCACGGGGAUGUGAGUGCCUAGUGGGCCAUUUUUGGUAAGCAGAACUGGCGCUGUGGGAUGAACCAAACGCCGAGAUAAGGAAUCGAAUGCGCACGCUCAUGAGACCCCAUGAAAGGUGUUGGUUGCUAUAGACAGCAGGACGGUGGCCAUGGAAGUCGGAAUCC